rnacentral:rRNA from 1 species
AAUCUGACCUGCUCUAUGUAAAUGGCCGCGGUAUUUUGACCGUGCUAAGGUAGCAAAGUCAUUAGUUUUUUAAUUGGGGACUUGAAUGAAGGGUUGGACAAGAGGAGAGCUGUCUUAGGAAAUUGAAGUUUGUUUUGAUGUGAGAAAACGUGGAGGAAGAGAAGACCCUAUUAAGCUUAAUUAUUUUACUGGGGCGGUAGCAAUGAGAGUAGGAUUAAGUUACUAUAGGGAUAACAGCGUAAGACAUUCAGAGAGUUCUUAUUGAAGAGUGUAUUUGCGACCUCGAUGUUGAAUUAAGAAUUUUUGGUGGAGGACCUUUAAAGGCUUACA